GAAAAUAUUGCAACAUAUCAUCACCAUCGCAAUAAAGUAUUCCAUUAAAAAAGCGCUUUUCCAGCUAGACAUAUCCACUCAUGUUCGAAUUAGUAACACCUCUCACGUUUGAGUACACAUGAGUAUGUUAAUAAUAUACUAGUGCAUUUUUAAUACGACUAGUAAUGCAGACGAGUGCAUCUAAAGCAAUUAUGUUUCUGCGCAGCUAGCUGUAUGACUCCUGGAUAUAAAAAAAAGAUAUGAUAUAACGUUAUUACAACAGAAAUUUUUAUUGUAAAUCCA
rnacentral:lncRNA from 1 species